rnacentral:rRNA from 1 species
GGAGAGCACUCCUACGGGAGGCAGCAGUGGGGAAUAUUGCACAAUGGGCGCAAGCCUGAUGCAGCCAUGCCGCGUGUAUGAAGAAGGCCUUCGGGUUGUAAAGUACUUUCAGCAGUGAGGAAGGUGGGUAUGUUAAUAGCAUACUCAUUUGACGUUAGCUGCAGAAGAAGCACCGGCUAACUCCGUGCCAGCAGCCGCGGUAAUACGGAGGGUGCGAGCGUUAAUCGGAAUUACUGGGCGUAAAGCGCAUGCAGGUGGUUUGUUAAGUCAGAUGUGAAAGCCCGGGGCUCAACCUCGGAAUUGCAUUUGAAACUGGCAAACUAGAGUACUGUAGAGGGGGUAGAAUUUCAGGUGUAGCGGUGAAAUGCGUAGAGAUCUGAAGGAAUACCGGUGGCGAAGGCGGCCCCCUGGACAGAUACUGACACUCAGAUGCGAAAGCGUGGGGAGCAAACAGGAUUAGAUACCCUGGUAG